GUAGUUGCUUCGGCACUACAUAUUCUAAAUAUGGAACGAUACAGAGAAGAUUAGCAUGGCCCCUGCACAAGGAUGACACGUUAAACUUGAGUGGAAAGCCCUACGGGGCAAACUAUUAUU
rnacentral:snRNA from 1 species